rnacentral:rRNA from 1 species
UACGUAGGGCGCAAGCGUUGUCCGGAAUUAUUGGGCGUAAAGAGCUCGUAGGUGGUGUGUCGCGUCUGCCGUGAAAGCCCGGGGCUUAACUCCGGGUCUGCGGUGGAUACGGGCAGACUAGAGGCAGGUAGGGGAGAACGGAAUUCCCGGUGUAGCGGUGAGAUGCGCAGAUAUCAGGAGGAACACCGGUGGCGAAGGCGGGUCUCUGGGCAACAACUGACGCUGAGACGCGAAAGCGUGGGGAGCGAACAGG